ACGUCGUCCUUGCUCGAGCACCGAGACACCAUGGGCGGGAUUCCCCUUGGAGCCAUGAUCGACUGAAACGCCAGCAACGGAACAAAGGUCAAGGUGUGCGGCAUGACGACGUACGUGCGUCGGCCACCUUCACCGCAACCUGGAGGGGGGCGAUUUACCGGCCAUUCGUUUGCUCCUCUUACAAUCCUGUCGUCGGCCAUCCUGCAAGCGGCGUGAGCCUCGUGUUCGUCUUCAGCAGCAACACCAUCCAGGGGAACGAGAGGGUUGAGUGGUUGAGCAUCCUCAAGUAAUGUCGUAUGUCAUUCAUAAGCACUCCUGUAGGCUCGAGCUAUUAUAAUCCCAACUUUAG